CUCGGAGCGAGCCCGCCCAGCUCCCGCCCCGCCCGCCCACACCCCGGCUCGGAACUCGCUCAGCAGCCGCCUCCGAGCGGCUCCACCCCCCUAGAGCCGUUUCGAACCUCGUUCGGUGCCCGCCUCCAAGCGGUCCCGCUCGGCCCCCCCGGUCCGCCCCUCCGGCUCAGAGCACGGCCAGCCCGCCCCCGCCCCCGAGCUGGUCCGCACUUCAGUCUCGCCACACCUCAGCCCACAGACACCGCUUGCCGCCUUUCCCUCAGAGCACACAGAUUCUUCUCACGCGCUGAGAUCACCUGUUGCUUACCUGUCCGCUCGUGCGGCUUAUAUAGGUGUCCCGGCCGCCCGCCAGCCAAUAGGAGCCCAGAACGCCGGUUUCUUUUCCCACCGCUUUUGCUUCCCGCCGAUUUCGGUUCCCGCCUCACCGCUCGCGCCCUUUUUGCUGAAGGCGACCGGGGCGGGGUCAACUGAGGGUCACGGGCUCCUCGCUGCGCUGCCGCCUUUACCCUCAAGGCAGAGCCGCCUCACAGGUGGUCGCUGUGAGGCCACAGCGUUCUGGUGGAGCUGCGUGUGGGGCACUCAUUUCUUCAGUUUCCAUUCUCAUCUUCUAGGUUUGUUCCUGAAGGUCAGAACUAUAUUAUGCUCUUCAGUGAUGACUCCCAUCAUUCUUGAAGAUCUUCUGAGAAGGAAUACAAAAAAAGUGAUACUCCCUGCUGCAAGGAAGCAGCAAAUCCAUCCCACUUUGGAGAUAAUGACGCUGACUGAGCUAUUGCUGCUGUUGAAAUCCUCUUCUAAUGAGGACUUGUAGAAGAACAGUACGUGUUCCUGGUGUGUGCGUAUAUUCACAUUGCUGUUGGCUUUUGUUAAAGGUAAGGCUAUGUAAUAUAGCAGUGACUGUUUAAAAGCACAUUUGAUUUUUAGGAAACAAAACCACUACUGCCAUGUUUGUAAUUUUAU
rnacentral:lncRNA from 1 species